rfam:Parcubacteria bacterium GW2011_GWC1_38_6 TS98_C0022, whole genome shotgun sequence.
CGGGGUGUCGUAUAGUGGUAGUACGUGCGCUUUGGGAGCGUACAGUCCGAGUUCGAUUCUCGGCACCCCGA